rfam:Dipodomys ordii contig_36263, whole genome shotgun sequence.
GGUGGCUCAGUGGUAGAGUACUUGCCUUGCAUGCAUGAGACCCUGGGUUCAAUUCCUCAGCACCA